GGCUCCGUAGCUCAGCUUGGUUAGAGCACUAGUAUUUGAAUCUAGGUGUCGAGGGUUCAAAUCCCUUCGGGGCCA
rnacentral:tRNA from 1 species